GCCUGACUGGCUCAGUCGGUAGAGCAUGCAACUCUUAAUCUCAGGGUCAUAAGUUCAAGCCCCAUGUUGGGCA
rnacentral:tRNA from 1 species